rnacentral:lncRNA from 1 species
AAUACCUAAAAGUGGAAUUGUCGAGGAAUAGGGGCUUUAAUGGCCUAAACUCACUUAGGAUGAAGCCCCGAACCCUGCACGGCCCUGAUCACGUCUCUGGAGUUGUCAUUGCACUGCCCCCUUCUCAUCACCCUGACUGCAGCCCCUCCGUUCACGCUCUUGCCUCUGCCGGGUGUGCACUUUCUUCCUCCUUUCCAGCUUAUCCAGCAACAGCUGCCCGCCUUCCCCAUUAAGGCACAUCCUUUAUUGUAGGCACAGAGCCUUCUUCAUGCCUCGGCACAUACCCAGACGGUGAUUUUAUUUCAUUUAUUUUUUUUUAAUGAUUUUUAUUUUUUCCAUUAUCGUUGGUUUACAGUGUUCGGUCAAUUUUCUGCUGUACCACAGAGUGACCCAGUCUCUCUCUCUCUCUCUCUCUCUCACAAACACACACACACACACACACACACACACACGCGCGCGUUCUUUUAAGACUGUGAUUUUAUAUUCAUCAACAUGAUUACAGCUGACACUUGGGCAACUGCAGGUUAGGAGUGCUGACCUUCUGCACAGUAAAAAUCCACAUAUAACUUAUAGCCGGCCUUCUGUAUCAGCAGUUCCACGUCUGCAGAUUCAACCACCCCUGAUGGUGUAGUGCUGUAGUAAUUGAAAAAAAUUGGAAAAAAAAAAAACCCAUGUGUAAGUAGAACUGCACAGUUUACACCCCUGUUGUUGAAGGGUUGUAUUUGCUGAAUGUUUGCUUCUCAGCAGCAAAGCUCCACGAGAGCAGGUUAUCUGUCUGUUCCACUCACACAGGCCUGGUCUAGGUUCUGGCACAUACUGAGCAUUUGAUAAGUUACCGUUGGGUGAAUGAAUAAUGGUGCUGUUUCUCUCCCACCACAGAUUCUGCUCUCCACUUUAGUAAAACUCCUUUUGGCCACCCAGAGGAGAAACCCUUUGUCCUUUUCAUGAGUUUCUCCAUCACUUGGACGCAGCUGGAGGGAGAAAGACCAAGGCAAUCAGUUAUGUUGGGCUGCCUGGCUUCCAGGAAAGAGAAAAGCUUGAAUUUCAAUCUUAAUAGUUUUUGUCUUAAGCAGACCAUUAUACAAACAAAAUUCCUGGUAAAGGGGCUUCAGAUCCAAAUAAGACAAUGAGGCAGUGCAGUUAGCAAGUAUUCCACCCUAACCUAGAUCUAAGGGGACUUGCCUCUGGUUUUCUUUGUUUACUCAAGUUUUUCUUCUAGAGGACAAAGUACUGGGGGCAUUCUGAAGACAGCACUGAUUUUCUUGGAAAGCAGAAAUUUUUCUUAGUAAGGGAAUGAAGUUGUUCCCAAAGAAAUGUUUGAGGAUAAAAUGCUACGCAGUGAAAUUUGCCUGUGGAUUGAAAAGUGCCUAGUGAGGCCUUUUGACCAGUUGACUUGCCAGAGCAGAGACCUGACGAGGUGGGGAAGCUCUUCUACCUGAUGUGCUGUUACUGUGAGCGGGCGAUUCAGGGAGGUGUUUAGCUACACACCCCGCUCCUCCUCCAAUCCCACAGUACGCACAGGAAUGAAAGGGAUUUCAGAAUCUUGCAUACCUUCGCCCGACUCCACCUUUUUCCUGGAUGAUUCCCUUCCGGGUUGAUUUCUUGUUUGCAGAGAAUGACAACAAUGAGCGGACGGUGUGUGGAUACAGUUUCUUCUCUGUUUUGCCUUUGCAAAAGGAAUGCAAAAAAUGCGAUCCGAGAGGAGGCGUGUAGUCCAAAAGGACUAUAGCUGUUCAAGAAAACAGCUAGAAUUUUAUCACCACCAGAUUACUCUUACUACCAUCAGGAAAUGAAAUUAUUUUAGGAAUCAGCAAACAUGUCAUAUAGAAGGAAUGGAUUCUGCUCUCCUGUCUUUAAAUAGGGAUGGAUGAUUCUUCACUUGAAGAUUUGAGGACGUCAAAGGUGAUAAUAUACAUCAGAAAGUCCACUGGAAUAUUUAUUCAGAAACUUCAAAGUGUUCAUGCCCUUCCCACUCCUAGAUAUGUGUUCCGAAGAAUUAAUCACAGACAAGGGUCUAUUGCAAGAAAGGUCACUGUUGAAUUAUUUACAGUAGGGAGAACUUGGAAAUGGUCUAAAUGUUUCACAAAGAGAGAAUGGCUACAUAAAUUCCGGGGCCUGCUUAUCAGAAAUAUUAUGGUAUUACAAAAUGUUUGCAAAGUCCAGUUAAUAAGAUAGGAAAAAAAAUCGCCUUGUGAAAGCAGUACCUAGAAUAAGGCCUGAGAUAUUGUAGGCACUCUAAAUAUUUGUUCAUUCAAUACAUGGAUAGAAAAAAAUGAUUUGAAAUUCUGCCAGAGAAAUGGAGGUUAACAUUAGAAAAAGCAAACAAAAAAACUGAACAUAAGUAGGGUUAACACUUUUAGAAAGGCAUUUUGCAGAGGGAAAGAAGAUGAAAGCGAUUCUCCCCUCUUCCCCCAAAAAACAACAUAAAAUCUGACCUUGAAUGCAGGCCAAUGGAAAAACUCUCUCCCAGGACAUUUUAGAUAGAAACAGAAUUCAUUUGCAAUGACAGGGGGUGCUUUCCUCUAAGAGGAGAAUUUAUUAACGUAAUAGUUCUUGAGCACUUUUUUGGUGUGUGUGCUAAAAAUUUUGCUGAGAUGUCAGUUUGAGAAACUUUUCAAAUUUAAAACAGUUUUGUUCCUUCACUGCUUUGUUAGGUGAAUAUUUGGAAAUAUUUCUGGCUCAUCAAACAGUCUUAAUUCCAGAGAGACAUCCAGACAGAACAUCUGCCAUAUGACAUCAGACUGAACGCAGCCAAUCGGAUGGGUGAAAGGCAGAAAUUACAGAAAAGUCACGGUCGGGACUCAAGUAUUCUUGCUAGCCCCGGCAACCACAAGUCUGUUUUCGAUGUUUUGGCUGAUGUCAUCGCAGCCGCCUAGAAGAACGGUUCUCUGCAGUGAUGGACGUUCUGUGAUGUCCCUGCGAUUACGGAAGCUGGCAAGGAAGUCUUCUCUCAGCACUGACCACCGGAAGCUACAAAGGAGAUUCAUUUUAAGCUUUCUGGGAAAGGAGCUGCUUGGUGAACCCCAGUUUUUUCUCUUAAUUUACUAUACCAAAGAAGUGUCUUCAGCCUACAGCAAGAGAAUGUUCUACAACUUCAAGAGCCUAAAUAAACAAGGCUGGUGUAGAAGAGAGAGAGAGGGUCCUACUUGGUGGGUACUUGACUGGCGAAGCAUCUGUGCCCAAAUGGCAGCUCUCUACAUACCGCAUAGGCUGGCGACUGGACUAUUUUUCAAGUAAUCAGACCUGAUCUGAGGAAGCUUUGCAAGUUCCCACUUUCUGUAUCUUAGGUCAGCAUUCCCCUGCCUGGCCCGUAGGAUUCCUGCCAUUGGAAUGGAAGCAGGAUAUGUUUGUUUUCUGUGGCUGCUGCAACAAAUUACCACAAACUGGAUGGCUUAAAACAGCAGAAGUUAAUUUUCGCACCGUUCUUUGGGCCAGCAGUCUAAAACCAAGGUGUCGGGAGGGUUGGGUUAGAAGUCCCAUCUGAACGACACUGAGUAGGGAGGGUCAGCUGCUGCAAAUAAGAGCAAUACUGCUCCCAGAAGGAGGAGAACAGGUGCAGCUGGGUAGCCUCAAGCAUCAGACCGGGAGUGCAGGGACAAAGGCAGGGAGUUCAGCUUACUCGUGCUGAGUCGUGGCGUGGCUGGUGAGGCACCCAAGUGCUAAUGCCCCAUCUAUUAAAUUUGGCAGCCGGUGCAUCAUUUUUAACCUCAGUGAGAUCACUUUCAGUAGCGCGUGAGGCAGGAGGACUGUUGAAGGCGUUGAAGAAUGAAUGGGUACAGAGGACGCCGAGGUGGUGGUGGUCAGAAGCCAAAGAGAAUGAGGGUUUCUGUAGAGGACGGUGUUGCUUGUGCAGCCUUUCAGGGCCCAUGGCAGUGCCCUAAAGCAGUAGUUCUCCAAGGCAGGUCCCCAGACCAGUGGCAGCAGGCACCUGGGCACUUACUGGAAAGCAAAUUUGGGGGACCUACCUGAGACUUAGCUGGAUCAACAAACACAGGAUGGAGCCCUGAAAUCUGUGUUUAACAAGCUCCCCAGGGGAUUUUGAUACAGGCUGAUGUCUGAGAAGCAGGCUCCCGGAGCCUGGGGAAAGAACCUUUGCUAGAGCUGGUUGUGCCAUCUGGCUCGGGGAGGCCUCUGUGCGUUUUGUGAACAUGUCGAGCCCAGCUGGGCUUGCUAGAAGCAGAGUCUGGUUUGGGGUGGAGGUGGGGGUGUUGGGCCCAAGGACACGUAUUUCUGUAAAGCAAGCAAAUGAGGCAGGAUCCCUGCUGCUUGAGUAUGAAAUACACCAGUUUUGAUCUUUCAAGCAGAUCUGCAAUUUGACAUUUUUCCACUCCUCUGAGCAACACAGUGCCGAAAGGCUCUCUUAAAGGACAAGCCUGGUGUUUGGCUGGAGCUGUCACAGAGCGGCAUUUCUCACAGUAUUUGCAGAGCCCGUGGGAAAUGUUAGCCAGAAACUCAGUCUGCUCUUUGACUUCAGUCUUUACGGUUGAAAACCUCUCUAAAAUGGAUCUUUUUGUCACUUGAGAGACUAGGGUGAUAUCCAAAGUAGAAAAAUUAUAAAAGAUUUAUUAUCUUUACAAAGCAGAGUGGCUUUGAGAUGAACCCUCUAAUAGAGUCCCUCUUACUCACAUGUGCUCUGAUUUGCUUUGUUGGGAGGAAAAGACUCUGGGAUGGAGGGAGCUCCCGCUGGGUGCUGGCACUUGCUGAUGCCCUUCAACCUGCAUGGUCUGUGGCACACUGGGUGUCUGUUGGAUUUCCCUUUAAUGGCUACAAUGCAAGUUUUUUUUUUUUUUUUUUUUUUUUUUUUUUUGUCUUUUUUUGUCUUUUUGGGGCCACACCCGCGGCAUAUGGAGGUUUCCAGACUAGGAGUCGAAUCAGAGCUGUAGCUGCCGGCCUACACCACAGCCAUAGCAAUGUGGGAUCGCUAACCCACUGAGCAGGGUCAGAGAUCGAACCCGCAUCCUCAUGGAUACUAGUCGGGUCGUUAACCACUGAACCUUGAUGGGAACUCCCUUUUAAUGGCUAUAAUGAAAGUCACCUGUCCAGUGGGGCAGAUGGCAGGAAGGAUGGCAUGAUAUAAACUCAGCGAGGAUAGGGCUGGCUAGCUCUUGCUUUUCCCUCUAAAACUUAGAAUUAUAAUAGCACCCAAUAAACAUGCUGAAUGAAUGCAAGAACAUGGUAAUUGUAAUGGAAUUUUGGAUCAUUUUGGAACCUACAGGUAUCAGGACCAUGAUUCUGAGCAUUAAUUUUCACCAUCCGGGUCCAUAAAUACAGCAUGUGUAGGCAGGACUGGCUACAUAAUUUGGGAGAGCAGUUAAAAUUAAAAAUGCAGGACCCCUUGGUCAAAAAUUAAGAACUUUGAGAUGGUGACAGUAGAGCAUUAAACCAAGUGUGGGGUCUUUCUAGGUGUGGGGUCCUGUGUUCCUGCACACAUACCCCGAAAUCAGACCUAUAGGUAGGAGAUAGGAUGAAAUCUUACUAAUCCUGGGAACUUAAACUUUUUGCAGAAAUCCUUGAAAUGACCUUUUAAGAUACUUACCUUCUCCUUUUCUAUGAAAGAGCAGGAUAAUAUCAAAGUGAAGGUGUUGAUGGUGAGGACUGGAGUAUCUCAAUUCUCUUUCACUUUGGAAUGUGUCCGUCUUUGCCAUGUUGCUCUCCGGUGCCUCCCGCUGGAGAGAUCAGAGUGUAUUUCCCAACCGCAAUGUAAGCCUCAGCAUCUGACUUUUGGGGCAAUGGGAUGUUAGGGGCCAUGACGUGAGCAGAGACCUUAAAUGCGCUUCUGUAGUUGGGCUUGGCCCCUUGAGCUUCUGUUUUUACCAUAAGAAUAACUGUCCCACGUAGCUGCUAGUCCAAGGAAAAUGAGAGAACUGUGCAGUAGGCCUGAUCCAAUCUGUAGCCCAAUGCAGAGCUGCCCCCACUGCCCCACAGACCUGUGAGGAAGAAAAGGAAAUGCGUUUGGAGUUCUCGCCUUGGCGCAGUAGGUUACAAAUCCAACCGCAGUGGCUCAGGUCGUGUAGGGGGUACAGGUUUGACCCUGGCCUGGCACAGUGGAUUAAAGGAUCCAGUGUCUCCAUGGCUUUGUCAUGUAGGUCAUAGCUGCAGCUUGGACUAUAUCCCUGCCCUGGGAACCUCUGUAUGCUGCAUAUGUGGCCAUGAAAAAAAUAAAUAAAUGCUUUUGG